UGCAAUGUAACCAUCUCAAGUGUCCAAGACAACUGACUGUAAAACCGCAGACUAACUUGGUAACCAGCCCUCGUUUUAACUGCUCACCACAAAUGCAACAGAAACGGAUAUCAAAUGGGAGAAAACAUAUUGUCAACGAAACGGAACCGCUGAGGGGACAGGGCCAUAGAACAGUCAUAUGAGGCUAAUGCAUGAAGUAACUGCAGCCCUCAGGAAUCACAGAAUACUGUUCCACCUCUUCUCUCCUUCUCCGGGAGCAUGCCAUCUGAACCUUGUGUCAGUGGGAAGGAGCUGGUAACAGACCAGAGGCUAUGCCAGUCCAAGUCUCACCAGGACUCCGUCCUCUCCGCCCUCAACCAGCAGAGGAAGGACGGCCUACUCUGUGAUGUCACCCUGGUUGCCGGCGACCAGAAGUUCCACGCCCAUAAAGCGGUGCUGGCGGCGUGCAGUGAUUACU